UAACUCUGGUUUCCCUUCAAAACGCAUAAAUCUUUCGCCUUUUACUAAAGAUUUCCGUGGAGGGGAACACUCAAAUGAGUCUAUAAUAUUUUUUGAAUGCCCAGUAUUUAUACAAGGCU
rnacentral:snRNA from 1 species